GAUGAACGCUGACAGAAUGCUUAACACAUGCAAGUCAACUUGAAUUUGGGUUUUUAACUUAGGUUUGGGUGGCGGACGGGUGAGUAACGCGUAAAGAACUUGCCUCACAGCUAGGGACAACAUUUGGAAACGAAUGCUAAUACCUAAUAUUAUGAUAAUAGGGCAUCCUAUAAUUAUGAAAGCUAUAAGCGCUGUGAGAGAGCUUUGCGUCCCAUUAGCUAGUUGGAGAGGUAACGGCUCACCAAGGCGAUGAUGGGUAGCCGGCCUGAGAGGGUGAUCGGCCACAAGGGGACUGAGACACGGCCCUUACUCCUACGGGAGGCAGCAGUGGGGAAUAUUGGACAAUGGACCAAGAGUCUGAUCCAGCAAUUCUGUGUGCACGAUGAAGUUUUUCGGAAUGCAAAGUGCUUUCAGUUGGGAAGAAAGAAAUGACGGUACCAACAGAAGAAGUGACGGCUAAAUACGUG
rnacentral:rRNA from 1 species